rnacentral:misc_RNA from 1 species
UCUCCGUAGGUGAACCUGCGGAGGGAUCAUUGAAUUAUUAAACCACAAUGCGAACCUCAACGUUCCGUGUCUUGGCUUGCCAGUGGGGCAUUCGGCAUAAAACCCGUUUGUUCUCACAGCUGGUACGUGGGCAUUGCCUCUCAGUGGCGCCUUGGCAUGACUUUAUACCAGUGCUAACCACUGUUAAAACCAAACUCUGAAGUAUUGAUUGCUAGUAAUUGGCGAUCUUAACCAAAGACAACUCUCAACAACGGAUAUCUUGGCUCUC